UACGGGGGGGGCAAGCGUUGUUCGGAAUUACUGGGCGUAAAGGGCUCGUAGGCGGCCCACUAAGUCAGACGUGAAAUCCCUCGGCUUAACCGGGGAACUGCGUCUGAUACUGGAGGGCUUGAGUUUGGGAGAGGGAUGCGGAAUUCCAGGUGUAGCGGUGAAAUGCGUAGAUAUCUGGAGGAACACCGGUGGCGAAGGCGGCAUCCUGGACCAACACUGACGCUGAGGAGCGAAAGCCAGGGGAGCAAACAGG
rnacentral:rRNA from 1 species